rnacentral:lncRNA from 1 species
CCCGAUUUUCAUUUUACAUAUACGACAAAAACAAACAUAAUAUUAAAAAAUGACAGUACACAACAAUUCUUUGCUAAUAUCAAAACUUUAAAGCCUAAUUUACCUAUUUGAAAUUCAAACACGUAAAUAAUUUUCUCCCUUUGUUCUUUAGAGUAUUUGCAUUGCAAACGAGUGCCCUUAAAUCGCAUGGCAGUACACAACACUUCUCUGUGCACUUGAUUUUCUGUUCGUAGAAGAAGACAUGGUGGAGAUGUGAAGGAGAUGGAAAACGAAGAAGAGGAAAGAACAAAAGAGAAAAGAAAGAGGGGAAAAUUUAAGAGAAAACCAAAGCUGAAAAAAAAAAAAGAGAUGCAAGAUGUUGAAAACUGUUGAAAAAAAAUAAAAGAAAAGAAAAUGGCAGAGCAACCGAUGCAGAGCGAAAACGAAAGAAACAGAAAUGUUGAAGAAUCUGGUGAGAAUGAUGGAAAAUUAAUGAAAUAUAACUUAAAGAAAAAAUUUUAAAAUAAAUAAAAACUAAAGAGGUCGAGUCAGUAGAUGAAAAAAAAGGGGUCAAAUAGAGUUCCCAGAUUGCGACAUGUGGUGGCGUGCAAUUGGUCAGCGCUGCCACAUCAGCAAAAUUUUUUAAGUGGCGUUAGGCUCAAGUACCAAACCAGUGGACAGAAAACAAGUUCGAGUACCAAUCUGGGAAAAAAAACCAUAGGUACCAAUCUGAGAGAAGUGGACAAGUUCAAAUUCUAAUAUUAUAUUUUUCCCAACUUUUUUACAAGUAAUUUUAGCUACUAUAGUCGAAAACUCACAUUGAAAUGAACCUAGUAAAUAUUCGACGAUGACGACCAUUAGGGCUCCAAACGACGAUAGUUAUGUGAAAUAUAGUCUGUUAAUGUUUGAACAAAAUAGAAAUUUAUUAGAAAUAUUUGAAUUUGAAGAUAUUUUUACAAAUCUGAAAUCAACUAACUAUUAUUUUAAUCAAGAAUGUGAAUAAAGUAUAUAGAAUCAGGAUACAUAAAUAAAAUUUAAAAUACCAUUGGUUGUUGGCUGGCAAGAAUCCUGUUGAUUUAUUAUGGUUCUUUGUUUUCCGAUCCUAACGGUCAAAGGUGUGCUGAAGGUGAGAAGAUGCGUAUAUCAGAAAUCAGAAACCAUCCGACGAUUAGAGGAGGAGAUCGUAGGAGGUUUGCAUUUCGACUUCAAGUAUAGCUUUGAAGAUUUUAGGCCGAUUCUCAUCCAAACUAAGCCGACAAAUAGGUUGAGGGGGAAGAGAGCUGCACUCUAGUGGUCUCAGUUGGCUCGUGGGAUGUCAGUGAUGGCUGACUGCAGAGUGGAGUGAAGGCAGUGGCUAGGGCAAAUAGAGAAGGAAGAAGAGUGAAAAUUAAAAAAUUAAAAAGGAACCAAAUCCCAUCUAUGACCUUCACGUGAAAAAGAGCAAAGGGAAAAGAGGAAUUUUCUCUUCAAUCCCUAUGACUUUUUGGGUAAACUGUUUUCUACCUUUUCCUUUUACAUAUUUAAAAUUUAGUCCUUUUACUUUUC